GAUGUUUGCAGCUUUUACUCGUAUUGAUUAAUGGCUUGGCAGACUUCUCUACAAAAGGAACUUGUGAAACUUACUACAGUGUUUAAGAUCAGGUACACAUAGACUUACUAUAUGUUUUAAAUUAAACAGCAACAGUUAAUGCAUAGUUAGAGGUGGCCCAGUAACUUCAGGAGUCCAUGCAUUUUAAUGAAUUUUUAAUUAGCCUAUUUAAGGGCAUUUUAAAGAAACAGUAUCCUUAAUAAGUUAUUUCUAGAUUAUAAUACACACUGUGAUGUUCCAUUUAAUAAGCUUAAAAGAACUGCUAAACUAUUAGUCUUCUUAAAGGUGCUAAAUUUUAUUUUCAGUGAAACUGAAAAUAGUGCAGCUUGCAGAAGUCAUUUUUAUAAUUUGAAAAGCGCCUCCCAAAGUAAACUGUGAUGAUUGCAUUGUUUCCAGUUUUUUUAAAAAAACACCAAUCUGACCCCUUGAUGUGGCAGAUGUCUUUG
rnacentral:lncRNA from 1 species